rnacentral:rRNA from 1 species
CCUACGGGGGGCAGCAGUGGGGAAUAUUGCACAAUGGGCGCAAGCCUGAUGCAGCCAUGCCGCGUGUGUGAAGAAGGCCUUCGGGUUGUAAAGCACUUUCAGCGGGGAGGAAGGCGUUAAGGUUAAUAACCUUGUCGAUUGACGUUACCCGCAGAAGAAGCACCGGCUAACUCCGUGCCAGCAGCCGCGGUAAUACGGAGGGUGCAAGCGUUAAUCGGAAUUACUGGGCGUAAAGCGCACGCAGGCGGUCUGUCAAGUCGGAUGUGAAAUCCCCGGGCUCAACCUGGGAACUGCAUUCGAAACUGGCAGGCUAGAGUCUUGUAGAGGGGGGUAGAAUUCCAGGUGUAGCGGCGAAAUGCGUAGAGAUCUGGAGGAAUACCGGUGGCGAAGGCGGCCCCCUGGACAAAGACUGACGCUCAGGUGCGAAAGCGUGGGGAGCAAACAGGAUUAGAUACCCCUGUAGUC